rnacentral:rRNA from 1 species
GUGCCAGCAGCCGCGGUAAUACGUAGGGGGCGAGCGUUGUCCGGAAUCAUUGGGCGUAAAGAGCUCGUAGGCGGCUCAGUAAGUCGGCUGUGAAAGUCCGAGGCUCAACCUCGGAACUGCAGUCGAUACUGCUGUGGCUAGAGUCCGGUAGAGGAGAGUGGAAUUCCCGGUGUAGCGGUGGAAUGCGCAGAUAUCGGGAGGAACACCAGUAGCGAAGGCGGCUCUCUGGGCCGGUACUGACGCGGAGGAGCGAAAGCGUGGGUAGCAAACAGGAUUAGAUACCCUGGUAGUCCACGCCGUAAACGUUGGGCACUAGGUGUGGCGACCCGAUCAACGGUUGCCGUGCCGAAGCUAACGCAUUAAGUGCCCCGCCUGGGGAGUACGGCCGCAAGGCUAAAACUUAAAGGAAUUGACGGGG